UACUGAGUCUGUCAGACUUGCCCUAGAGGGCGGAGCCCUUUAACAUACCUCAAACAAGAACGAACCUUCCCUCAAGAACACCGCAUCUUUACUCAAUAGCACCGUAUCCAUCAAACAGAUGGGGAAUUCUACAGCCAAGCCGCCAUACAGAUUCCAUUCAACUUUGAAGAAACAUUUUACCAAAAAUUAAAAAAAAAUAAAAAGAGGGAAGAAUUCAACUUUGACUAAUUCUGCUUCUACUUAAAGCUAUUACAAGAAUGGCCAGAAGAGGGCGGUCUACCCCAGGUUUAGGACCAACCUCCAAUGUCCACAUAUCUACAGCUGAUGACAGCAAAAGGUGUGACUCCCCAGGGAAACCCAUGAAUGGAUAACCAGCAGAAUACACACAUUCUUCUACAAGACUGACUGUGCCCUGUGUGGAAUGAGAAUGGGAGCUAAAGAAGCCCGAGUUGGUUGCCUGGGGUCUAAACAGGAGUUUCUCUCCUCUGGAAUAGAAAAACCUUCUUUGUCAAACCUGUUAGUGCUUUUGUUCUGUGAAUAAAAGCUAAAGACAACUUGCACAGCCUGAGCUGAGAACUCUGCCUUAAAACCAGACCUUACACUAUUCACAGGCUCUUGACAAGGACAAAAAAGGCGAAAUUAGGCCUAAAAUCUCCCAGGCAGAUGUCCAGGGUUAAAACAGGUUAUUUGUUAAUUGCCUUUGUGUUUUUUAAGGGGAAGGAUUUGAAGGUUGAGCAGGAAACUUGUUAGUAGAAAAAAAAAUUAAGAGAAAAAAAAAUACACCCCCCCUUAAAA